rnacentral:lncRNA from 2 species
AGCUAGCCUUCAGAUUUGUCUGCUAACAGUAAAAAUACUAUAAUAAAUCGGUAACAUAUGUUGCCAGGCAAGGAAAAGUGAUAUAAAUAAAGAGACUGGGAGACCCAAACCAAAUUGCAUUCUUACCCAAAUACUCUUCGUGAUUGCCUGCUUUGCGGCUUUGGGCCGAUGCAAGCUGCAAAAUGGCGAGUCUUCUAAGGUGCCUUUCCUUCCCUGGGAUCCUCAUCUUAGAAUGAGCAGAGGCACAUCGAUAAGAACUGGACCUUGAUUUCACAACCUCAUACAAAGCCAGGCAAUUCUUGAGCCAAACAAAGGGGGUGUAAGCUAUUUCAUUUAUUUUGAUAAUCCUCCUCUUGCACGGGAGCAUUUUGCUGUCUUUGUCAAAGUGAAUGACAACAAUUUGGCCAACUCUCUCUGAGCUGCACUCAACAGUGACAGGCAAAUUAUCAGAGGCCCUGCACUUCUUAUUAUCAGAGGAGAAGCCAUCAGGGGGACGCAUGGAGGAUACCUCUCCCUUGUCACUAUUUGUCAGUGGGACAAGGGCCA